ACAGCGAGCCUUGCCCUGUCCUUGCUCCUGCUCUUGUCCCCGUUCCUGCCCGUGCCCCAGCUCUGCCCUGCCCCGCCCCUCCCGGCACGCCCGCCGUUCGCUCCGCAGCAGCCGCACGCCGAGUCGAGGCCGCUGUCGGGAGUUCCACUCCCUUCCCCUCCCCUAUCCCUGCUCGGGGCCCGACACAGCCCUCUGGGUGCUUCCCGCCGUCGGCUUCCUUAGAGGGGUCCGUGCCCUCGUCCCUGUCGCGGGAUGAAGAGGAUCUUCGGGUUCGGAAGGAAGAGGAAAGGGCAGCCGCCGCCCGGCAGCGCCUCCCUGCCCUGCCCCGCCGGUGCCUACGAGCUCCGGCAGAAGGACCUGGGCAAGCUGCACCGUGCGGCCGCCAGCGGCGACCUGGCCCAGGUGCGGCAGGGACUGAGGAAAUACGGCAUCGACGGGAGGGACAAGGCGGAGCGGACACCUCUGCAUCUCGCUUGUGCAAGUGGCCAUGUGGAUGUAGUUACAUAUCUAGUAGAAAACCAGUGUAAGCUAAAUCUUUUUGACAAUGAUAACAAAUCGCCACUGAUGAAGGCAGUACAGUGCCAGCAAGAAAAAUGUGUGGCUAUUCUACUAGAGCAUGGUGCUGACCCAAAUCUGGCAGAUGCUGACGGCAACACUGCCCUUCACCUGGCUGUCCUAUCUCCUAAUACAGCUGUAGCAGGGCUGUUACUCGAGCAUAAUGCCAAUAUUAAUGCUCAAAAUAAGGAGGGAUGUACCCCACUUAUUCUUGCUGUCUCCGAACGUCAUGAAGAGAUAAUGGAGUUUCUCCUUAAAAAAGGAGCUAAUGUGCAUGCUCGAGAUCAGUGUGAAAGAACCCCACUUAUGACAGCUGCUUCUGGGGGAGAGGUUAAUUUGAUAAAAGUUCUUCUUCAGUAUGGUGCUGAUGUUUCCCACAAAGACACUAAUGGAUGGACAGCUGAGGAUUAUGCUGUUAUUCAUGGGUAUUCUAGUCUUAGUAAGCAACUGGGAGAAUAUGCAGACUGGGAAAACACAGUUUCUGCAGGUGGUGCACAGGGCAUCACGGUACCUGGCACUCCGCACCGGGCAGGAGCCGCUGCCUUUAUGUUGGGUGCACCUGCUGUGGACAGAGGAGGAAUGCAACAAUCUCCUAACCAGACAUCAAGAACAGGAAAAUCAAGGAAAGCAGCAGAUGACUUUUCCCAAGGAGACUCAAUAAGAACCUCCGAGAAAGAGGGAAGCGAUGACAGUUGGCAUACCUCUGAGGAAGAGGAACUCGAUUUUACCCCCAAGAAGCUGCAGAAGCCAAACUUGACACUGCUAAUGAAUGCUUCACAGCACUUCAGGAAAAACAAUGAUGGUGAUGGUUCUAGAAUUGAAAGUCCUAAGUCACCAAAGAAAAGUCUCAAACAGCAAAUCCCAUCAGAUGCAAACCUGAACAAAGGAGGCACUGAAGAAUUGUUUAAUCAAGAUGUCUCAGCUGCAAGUAACCUGGAGGAAGAAGAACUGGAGGAGGAGGAAGAAGAGGAGGAGGAGGAAGAUGAUGAUGAAAAUCACAGUGGAGAUGGUGAUGAAGAUGAUGAGGAGGAAGAGGAGGAGGAUGAAGAUUUUACUGAAGAUGAAGAGGAGGAGGAAGAGCUGGAAGAUGAAGAAGCUCAGUCUAGUGAAAUACUGGAAGAGGAGCAGGGAGAAAAAACAGAACCUAAAGGUGAAAUUAAUGGGAAAUUAGAGUAUUUUAGUAAAGCUAAGUAUGAAGAGGAGGCUCAGUGUGAAACUGGAGCUGUCUGCAUUGAUGAUAAAAUAAGUAAAGAACAUGAUGAAAAGGGGGAGGAAUCUGUUGAUACUCCUGUGUCUUUCAUAGCUGGGUGUUAUGAAAGGUUGCAAGAAAAUAAAACAUCAGUGUCUCCAAAGAUCAUGAAUAAUGAAGUAUCUUGCAAGUCAGUACCAAAACAAGCUGUCUUUCAAAAUCUAAAUAAUCUGCAAGAUACACAAGAAAGCUGGAACAGGAAAAGCAUGAUUCAGGAGAAGUUUCACAGAAAUGCUGACUCUUGUUUUGUAAAUUCUGAAAUGACAGACUGGAAAAAAGGGAUACCUCAGCCUCUCUCAGAUAGUUGUGGUCUUAAGGAGAAAAAGUCAAGCUUCAGUGAUGACUUUGAAAGUGAUAAUAAUUCUUGGUCAGCAGCAAAAAAUCCAGGACUUGAAAGAGAAAUACCAAGCUCUGUCAUUGUUGAUCAUGUGAGUGAUGAAGAUACUGAAGAAGAGCAAUAUGAAGGAGCAGGUGAUAAAAUCUGUGACCCACUGAAACAAGAAAAUGAAAACUUGCGCUUAAAUAGACAUGAAGAAAAUUUGAGAGCAUUUCAUUCAAGCACCAAAGAAGAAUCACCUGAACAGGAAGAAAAAGUUGAAGAAGAAAAGCAGGAGAAGGAAGACACGGGUGAAAAGCUACAAACUACAGUUACUGAGGAUGUGAAAAAUUCUGUUUGUAAUGAUAUCUCUGAAGUUCAUGAUGCUUCAAAAGACAAGUCAGGUACCCUGCCAGCAGUGAGAGCAGAGCAAGAGGAAGAUGCUGAAUCUCCCUGGGAUUCUGAGGCAGAUUCUCAAAGUCUGAGAAAAGUAUCAUCCAGUAUGUUGCUCCCAGCUGCAGAGAGACACGAAGUAUGCUCCCAUAUUGUUUCAGGGGAGCACAACAAUGGUUUUUUUGAGAAACCCAACAAUUCACAGCUGAAGACUCCCAAAUCUGCUUUGGAAAUUAAUGAAACCUCUCCUAAAAACAGACAGCAGAAAUCAGAUCUAUUGCAGGAAUUUGGUUUAGAAGAUGCUGAGGACAUUGAAGGUGAGUUCUCAGGAUCUACCUUUCAUAUGUCAUCAUCAGCUGAAAAAGAUGAUGUCAAGGAUGCCCUUGAAAACUAUGGGGUGUGGGAUAAAUAUAUUUUAGAAACUACCAACUUGAUAGAAAAAAGAGCACAUGAAAAUCAGACUGACAAAGCAGAAAUUUCACAUCAGGAAGCCCUAGCAGAAAAUGAGGAAUCACACAGUGCUGAUAAGGAGUUAAGUCUGAAACCUUGGGAAGAAAGAUAUGAAAAACUGUGGAUUGAAAAGGAGAAAAGAGAAUUGAAAACAAAUUUUAAAAACAUUACAGCAGAAUUGAAGCAGUUGUUUGGUGAAAAUGAAACUGGGAAAACUGCUUCCUAUGUGAAAGAAAUACCAGAAGAUGGCUUUGGUGAAAAAUUGAAGAGUUCUUUCAUUAUUUCAUCUCCUGUGACAGAAUCAAGCAGUAAGUUAGAAAGCAAAGGUGAAUUUGGAGAUACUAAACUUAUCCUAGAUGGAAAAGUACCCCAAAUGAAAAUUGUAAUUCCGAGUCUUGGUAUCCUUCCUGAUGAAAAUAGUGUAAAGGCAAAUGUGGAAGAUACCUGGAAUAGAGAUGAAGAAGAUGGCACUAACAAUAUGGAUAACAGAAAGGUGUCUCUGGCAAAAGGAGAGAAAAAGAGAAUGCCUACUAUCGAAACAGAAGAGAAUGAUAAUGGAAGUAGUGAAAAUGCAGAGGAAGGUCCUGCUUACUCCCUGAGACAUAGCUUAAAAUCAAGUAUUUUGGGUGACAUUUCUAAUACUCUUCCUAAAAUAAGAACUGUUUCUACAAGUGAUGAAAAUGCAGUUUUUGUAACAGAAAGGAAAUUUGAAAAAUACUCUGGAUUUAAUGAUGAUGUUCACAGGAACUACCUUAUCAACAAUAAUAAUAUAGGAGAAACAGAAAUUGAAAGUAUUUUUGCAAAUGCUCAGCAGUCUUGUGGCAUGCUUGAAAGGAAUCUUGAUGAAGAACUGAAACAAGAUAUGGAAAGAUUUAAGAGUAAGGUAGGAAUGCUGCAAAUAGUAUUCCUGGCUUUGGAGAAAGAGAAGGUACAGCUGCAACAAGAGGUUGAGAAGGAAAAAAGCAAACAAAGAUGUUUGAAAAUGCAGAAGGUGGCAAAACAGGAAGAUGUUGCUAAAUUAAGUACACCGCCAGACAACAUUACUAGUAAGGAAAUGAAAGAAAAGCUUACUCUAAGGAAGAAUGACUGUCUGAAAAUGGAGAAUGAAGACAGUACAGAAGAAAAGGACAAAAAGAAUUUUUCAGCUGAGGAGAGGUCAAAAUUGAUUAAAAGGCCACUGAAAGGUGAAUUUGCCCUGAAUCCCGAAGUUGCAAAGAUGCAUAAAAGACAGACUUUGAAGCAGGCAGCUAAUCAGCAGAUGAGCUCCUGCAGUGGGAAUCAUUUUCAAACACUGGAUGAUAGCACUUUCAGUGAAACAUCUCAAGAUGAAGAAAGACCUGCAGCAAAAACAGGGAGUGAAAAGAACAAGGUUGGCAUGGAUGUAACUGAUGACCUUGAUUUAACUCACUCAUCUGACACAACUUCAGAGGAUGUUGCAUUACCAACAUCCACCUACAAAGAGGCUUUGCUGCUGUUAGAGCAGCUCAGCGUGGAUCAUACAGGUUCUGCUAUUUUAUUGAAAAUUCAAAACAUACUUCUUAAAUAUGAGCAAAUAAUAGAACAUGAAAAAAAUCGGUAUACAGCUGUCUGUAAAGAAGUAAGAAAACUGGAAAGUGAAAAGGAGGAAUCACAAUUAAUAGCAGAAGAGACUCAAGAUUUGAAAUCUAUAUUGGCUCACCAAGAAGUGGAAUGGAAAAGUGAUAUCCAAAGCCUUAAAUUUACUUUGAAACAAGAAGAGGAAAAGAGGGUCAGAGUAGAAGCACUCUAUGAGAAAACAAGAGAAAAACUCAUAAGGCAAGAAGAGCAAUAUUGUAAAGAGGUGGAGGAGAAACAGCAACUUGAGUUACAAUCAAGAAAUUUAGAAAUGGAGUUAUUAACACUGAGAAAGCUCUUGAAACAGGUUGAAGAAGAGCGUGAUGAAACCCAGAGACAGCUCUCUCAGGAAAAGAGUGCCAGAGCCCUGCAAGAAGGCAUUUUGAACAACCACCUUUGGAGACAAAAGGAACUAGAAGAAGAGACAAGAAGAACUAUAGGAAAAAAUUCAGAUGAAUCUGACACUGAGAGAGAAAAGGAUCUGUUGUACAAAAAUCAGUUACUGCAAGAUGAGAUUGCUGUGCUAAGACUAGAACUUGAUCAAAUAAGACUUAGGCACCAGGAGGAAGAAGGAAAAUAUUUAGAGGAAAAUGAGACCUUGAAAGAAAAAAAUGAAGAUCUCAAAAAGGAACUUAAACUCAAUGAGGAAGCCUUAACACAAACAGUUUUUCAGUACAAUGGACAGCUGAACUUACUAAAGACAGAAUCUGCGAUGCUAACUUCCAAACUUGAGCAAACAAAAGAAAGCAAAGACAGACUAGAGACAGAAAUUGAAUCAUUUCGUUCCCGCCUGAACACCACUGUUCAAGAGCUUGAACGUCAUCAGUCAUCAAAAAGUGAUGCCGAGCGAACGUUCCAGAGAGAACGUGAUGAAUGGCUUCGCUUGCAAGACAAGCUGCAUCAUGACCUCUCUGAUGUGCGAGAAACCAACAAGAGCUUGUCUCAGCAGCUGAGUAAAGCUGAAAGCAAAGCUAAUGGUCUAGAAAAUGAACUUCACCAGUUGAAACAAAUGCUCAGAGAAAAAAUGAUGCUUUUAGAAAUGACACAAAAAGAAUUAAGUCAAGCCCAGUGUCAGGCAAAGGAAUAUGAUCAUGCUCGACAACUUGAGAAAGAUCAAGUAAGCAAACUUACAAUAAAGCAGGAAUCCAUGCAGGAGCGAUUGGCCCAGCUCCAGAGUGAAAACCUUUUGCUCCGUCAGCAACUGGAAGAUGUGCAGAACAAGGGGAUCAUCAAAGAAAAAGUAGUGAAUGAUGUACAGGAUCGGUUUAAUGAUAUUUUCAACAAACUCAGAGCUGAUACUGAAAAGCAAGUUUACCUAGUGGAAGAGAGAAAUAAGGAAUUAAAUGCCAAGUGUACUGAUUUAAGAGAACAAGUCUUCAAAUAUGAGACUGACAAAAUAGAGAGAGAGGGCAUGGUCAGACAGCUGCAGCAGGAGCUUGCUGAUGCUCUUAAAAAGCAAUCUAUGUCAGAAGCUUCACUUGAAGUUACUACACGCUAUCGCAGUGACCUGGAGGAAGACAAGCUGCGCUUGCAAAAGGAAUUGGAAAAGGUUAAAGCCAAGCUGCGGGCAGAGGAAGAAAAGCAUCUUCAAUCUGAGCAUUGUGUUCGUGACUUGAAGACUGCCUUGGAUGAUAAGGAAAGAGAAGCAAUAACUUCUGCUCAGAAACUGCAGGACCUCCUCUUGGCAUCUUCCGAGAGUAAUGCGACUAUAAAACAACUGGAAGAACACGUGCAACACCUUGAAAUUGAAAACACCAGAUUGGAAGCCACUGUCCAGCAACAAAACAAUAGGAUUGAAGUCCUUCAAAGAGACCUACAAUCCUCUGCCUCAGUUCACAACCGCCUGGAAGACUUGAUAACUAGCUUACGGACAUCACAGGCAGCUGCAGAGGACCACCAUAAGCAGGUGCAAAAGCAGAAUGCACUGGCUCUGACAUCAAAGGAUUUGCAGAGCAUGUGGGAAGAGCAGUUUAAGUCAAGAUCCAACCUCGAGGAGCGUGUUGCUCAGCUUGACAGGGAAAAGGCAGAGCUCUUUGAACAGUGUGAGAGUGAAAGAAAGAAAGUGAAGAAACUGGUCGAGUUGAAACGCCCAGUCGAACUGCGUCUGGACCAAGAAAUGAAAAGAAACUUAGAACUGCAGAAAGACUUUAAGAGGUUGAAGAGACUUCUGAGUAGAGCUACAAAGAAACUACGGGUGUUUGAAGAAAGAGAAAUGGAGUCCCAGCUUAAUUUGCAGGGAGAAAUGAAGAACAGAUAUUCUGAAAUGGUCAGUGAAGUUGGUAGAUUAAGACCAAAGGUCGAUGAACUUUCCCAGCAGCUGGACAUGAAAUCUAAAAAAUGCAUGCAGCUGGAAGCCAAAAAUCAGGAUUUGCAAGAAGAGUUGUCUACCCUGCGUGGGAAGUGUGAAAACCUGGAGAAGAGCAAAUGCCAGCUGAAAGAAGAGGUGGCAAAACUUCAACAUCAUUCAGACACUAACAUGGUGGAUCGUAGCCAAAUAGAACAGUAUAAAAGAGAGGUGGAAGAACGAGCUGGACAAGAAAUAAGACAAAAGCUACAAGAAGUCAAUCUAUUUUUGCAAGCACAGGCAGCCUCCCAGGACAGAUUAGAACAAAUCAGAGCCAGUCAUCAUGCUUCACUGAGAAACCAGCUAAAAGACAGAAUUAGAGAUCUUGAAUGUGAACUGGACAGGAUAAAAAAUACCCAACAAGACAGUACUUUUCAAAAAGAAUCUGUGCAGGCAGAAGUGGAAAAGUACAAAGAGCUGUAUCUGGAGGAAGUGAAAACCAAAAAAAGCCUAGCAAAGAAACUGGAAAGAGCUAAUGAGAGACUUGCAGAGGCCAACACUAAGCUCCUUCGGGAGCGCCAUAGAAGCAAAUCUUUAAUCACAAGCAGCAUUGUCAGUGGACAUCUGGCUGCAAGUCCAGUACUGUAUUCAACUGGUCUGGGACAUCUUGGCAACAGUUUGGGACUGAACAGAAGUCUCAGUCUUGGAGGAAACUUCCUAAGCCCAACAGAAAACACACUAUCAUCAAGAAACAGGGUUGAAGCGUAUGUGGCCAAGGUAAGCAUUUUGAAAUACUGUUCUUGACUACUGCUUAGGAGAGUCUGUAUGCAAGGUUAUCCUUUUUAGCCUAAAGUUUGAAUCCAUUUAUUGUUCCAUGCAAUACUCUCUAAUAUGCCAGAGCAACUGCUAAUCCUCAGAACAGUACACAGCUGUAUGUGGUAAGCCUGAAGACUUUUGGUCAUCAGGUUUGUACAAAUUUUCCAGAGUGGUCAAAGGCCAAAAAAUAUUGAAAUCAAAGCAAUGAGCUAUGUAACUACAUUCUUUUACAAGCAACUGUGGUAAAGAGCACUUGUGGCGCAGGAGCCUCCCAUGUAAGUUCUAUACUAAAUUUACAUGUGUGGCAUGUGUGGCCUGUUUCAAAUGGCUAAUGCCAUGAGGGGUGGCAAAUGCCACCAGACAUCUGGGAGACACCUUUUUCUUCAUCACUGAUCUUUGUUCUAACAGUUUCUUCACUACACCUUGCUUUAGUAUGUUACUAUGGGUAGGAGGCAUUUGUUCCUGGAGUUCCUGCUGUCUUACUACAUGAAACUAUUUACCUACUGCUUGGGAAGUCUUCAGGGCCUUCUAAUUUUGCAGCAACGCUGCAACCUCUGCAACACCACUGGUCCAAGCAUGCCCUGUCAUCAGCAGUCAGUGUGAUGGUAGCACAUCCCUCAGAGAAUGCAGAGCAUUAUACCCGGAGGCGUGGAAACCACACACCAGUAGUUGGGAUCAGUGGGACAGCCACGGAGCAUGGCAUUGAGGCGUGGCCAAGCUUCUCUCUUGAGUUAGUCUGUUUUCUUGUUGGGUGAAUGUGAGAAGCAGUUGUUCACUUUGAAGUCCAUCUCAGUUCACUGGUCCCCCCAGCUGCAUUGGAGAGAACCCAUUUCAACAAGGUGUCUACAUGCGGCACCUGCUUGAAGACAAAAAAGCCCAGAAGGUGAAAAGGGGCCAAGCAGCGUAGGUAAUGUGUAGCAGUGGCACUUACAGAGAGGAACUUUUCUGUACCACUCUGAGGACAUUUUUGAGGGCAGAGACUUGGACAGGCAUUACAGGAAGAACUCGUGAGGUAAUCAGUGCUGUACCAUCUGCAGGGACUAUUCUGCAGGCAAGCACUAGAAAGGAAACAAACUUCAGGGACCCAAUGCAAAAGGGAGAAAAAGAGAAGACCAGGAGGGGCAGAGAGCAUGCAACAAGUGAGGGAAAGAAAGGACAGAGAGAUGGGAGCAAGAUGUUGAAAGAAGGAAAAGGCAGAAGGAGGAAACCAUUCCUGUUCUAGGAGAAAAGCUGCCCUAGUUUUAAAGAAAAGGGUUGACAGCUGUGUCUUUUUUGAAAAAGAACAGGGAAAACAGACAGUGAAGGGAAGGACAGUGGGAGUACCCAGUGCUUCCUAAAACUGAAUUACAGCAACAGUCUUCAGGUAGUCCUUUCCAUUUUGAUGUUCCAGAAGAAAACUCUGGGCAUCUCAGAGUUUUGUCAGUAGCAAGACAGAUACCUUCAUUGCUUUCCUGGCUUCCCUGAAGGAUGUUAGAGAAAUUAAGUAUUUCUGCAGGUUAUUUCAUGGCUCAUUGUUUUAUCCUGUUGCUCAUCUGUGCAGAUAUGUAGUUCAAAGCGCUAUGUAAGCAGCUUCAAUGCUUUGCAACAAAUGCUUCCCAGAUCUACUUGUGGAAAACAGUUGAGCUGAUUCCAAGAAAAGAAUGCAUUAGAGCUGAGAAUGGCAAGACUCUUCUCACUCAGCAUCCAGACUUCAACAGCACCCAUACAGUUUCUUGUCAGGCCAUGUGUGCCUCACGGCCUUGAGCGUACUCUCAAGGAAGCUGAUGAGCAACUAUGUAUGACAUUUCCCCACUUUUCCAUUAUUGGUGUCUGGAGGGGCUUUGUUUCUUAGUUUGGGGACUUUCUUCGAUCCCAACCUGACCUUCCCUUUCUGGGUUGUAAAUAGAAGGAACCAUUAGUGGUCUGUGUACCAGAACAUGGGAACUGCAGCCUUAGUCCAUAGCCUAAGGCAAGGAAUGCCUGCUGCAAGUGUUGCAAGAAGAUUUUGGACCGGAGGCCUGUUGUUACUUUUAAGAACUGUCAAGCUUAAAUCCUAAUAGCUGUGCCAAAGGCUGGGGAAAAUGAAUGUGGUUGUCUUGACACAGAGAAGAAUAGUGAACUCUGCUGGCUGCAGCCAGUGUGAGUUGGUGGAUUAAUGAAACCAGUUUCCCUACAUAACAUGAGAAAGGGAAUGUCUGCUUCCUAUUCUCUCUCUCAAUUUCUAUUCCUUUUUUAGUUCCAUUUUCCACCUGCCCUCUUGUGUUUUAGUGGUCCUCGUAUUGCUAACUUUUUUGCUUGCCUUGUGUACCUGUAGGCCGUGUUUCUUAUUUCUCACUGAAGACCUUUGAACUUCAAGCUCCUUAAUCAAAAUCUUCUCUCUCUUCUCUUUGCAGCCAGAUACGUGACAAGGUUUGUAGCCAGUACUGUUUAACCUUGGGUGGUACUGGAAAUGUUUUGUCUAUUUAUGCUGUUAGGUUCUGAUUAAAACUUACUGAUGCAUUCACCCUUUGCCUAAAACUGGAAACAUUUUGAACUUGUUAGUUUCUCUGAGAGAGUGACUGCUGCCAAGUACUUUUGUGCUUUCUGUAUUUGUAAUGUUAUGGCCUCUGUGGUAGUUCACCCUCUGUAAGAUGACACUGGAUGCAUGGAUUUCAUCUGUUAUAAUGGAACUUCUUUAAACUAGGGGAGUAGGCUCUUUACCCUCCUUGCCUCUUCUGCUAUUCAGAAAGUUCUGGAUAGUACCAGCAGUUAUGUCUGGAGUACCAGUACUGCUCUGAAGUUGAGUUCCUAGACUCUGAAUACCAUCUCAUGGAAUCUCACAGGAUCCAACCUACUCUGUGCUCAAGAAGCUCCUGUGGGUACGACAGGAACUGGAUGAAAAAAUCACUAGAGAACUUCAACAAGCUACUGCUGAACUUGAAAGGGAAUCUGCUGCAUCUUCAAAACAUCUUCAUGGGGACCAGGAUCCCCUUUGCAGAGC